AGGGCCAGCUUUAACGUGCAUUACAGGCUUUGAUGCGCGGAACCCACCUGAUACCCUCAGAGUAGAUACUAUUACUUGGUCCGUUUCCCACAUUGGAAACGGAGGCAGGGGGUACUGGGAAUUUGCCGGAUCCACGGCUAGCAUGUGGGGUGCGGGGAUUUAAACCCCGGCUGGCUGGCUGGCUGGUUCUGAGCCCAGGCUCUUACUGCACAAAGGACAGGAUAAGUUGAGGUACAGCCUCUCUCGGACUUCCCCACAGCACUGCCGAAACUGUAAUUACGGGCUCACUGUCUGUUUUCCCCCACUAGACUGCGACUCCGAGAGGGCAGGGGUCAUGUCUCUCCUGUUAUCAGAUACCUCUUAUAUCUCCAGCACCUAGACUAGUGACUGGCACACAGAGGGCACUCGGAAGUUCUGAUGAAUAGUGAAAUGCAUCUUGGAGAAGCAGAGGAUUCCUUUGUAUGAGCAGCACCCCCCCACCCAGUUCAGUACCUGGUGAACAUGAGGGAGUCACCUCACUUCCUCCCCACCUCAGCAACACGAGGAUGAUAACAGGGGUGAAACUUUACAAAACAGUCUGCAGUUCCUUAAAAAGUAACACACAGAGUUACCGUGUGACUCAGCGGUUCCACUCCCGGGUAUAUGCCGAAGAGAACAGAAAUACAGUCCACACAAAUGCUGGUACGGAAUGCUCAUAGCAGCACUCUCAUAAUAGCCAAAAAGCGGAAACAACUCAAAUAUCCAUCCUCGGAUGGAGGGAGCAACAAAAUGAGCUGCAUAGAGGUCAAUGUCAUUCGGCCACAAAUACACGCUCCCCGGGCAAACUUCAGAAACAUCAUGUUCGUGCUCUUUUGACCAAGUCACAAAUGCGAGAAGUUAACCCUGGCCUGACAAGGGCGGAGGACCUUGGAUUUCUCGCCUGACUGCCCUGCCUUCCCAGGAUGACCUCUCAGACGGGCUGCAUGUAAGUGCUUUCUGGGUUAGGCAAACCUUGAGAAGCAAUCUCUGAGCCUUCUGUGGGACCAGCCCGUCCACUGACCUGAAGAUAGUCCCAUUGUAUGUAAAAGACCCAAGCUUUCCCUGUCGGACUCCACCCAACCUCUUGCUCAGCUCCUGUCCUUGGCAUCACAGCUCAGGCCAGGAUACAGACUGGGACAGGAGCCAGAGAGAGAAGCUGGUACGGGCCUGCAGAAAGGGGGCUACGGUAGAGAUGGAAUGAUACCGGAGGACGUUUCUUGUACCCCCUGAAGGCUUUCUGUGUCGUGUAAAGCUCCCAGAUGAUUCAAUAUGCAGCAAAGCUUGAGCACUGGGAGGCUGGAGGAAGGGAGCUUGGAAGCCCGGGCUCCCACAAGAACCGCUGACUGACUGACACAACGGCUCCAGCAAUCCACUGCUAUCCCUCUCUCUUCCGCCUCCUGAAACUGGAUUAUUUAGAAGCAAAUCACCAUCAUUUUCUCAUUCCAAACUGAAGUACUUCAGUAUAUACCUCUAAAAAAAAAAAAAGAAAAA